AUUGGGAAUGGAGGGAAAUAAAUGACUGGAUGGUCGCUGCUUUUUAAGUUUCAAAUUGACAUUCCAGACAAGCGGUGCCUGAGCCCGUGCCUGUCUUCAGAUCUUCACAGCACAGUUCCUGGGAAGGUGGAGCCACCAGCCUCUCCCUGACAAGCAAAGUGGAUCAGCAAAGGCUGCAGUCACCAGCAUCUUUUCCAACCUUAAUGAACUGUAUCCUCAAAAGAACACUAUCAGACUGGCUCUGCCGACUUCCAGUUCUGGAACAAGAUGGUUAAACUCAUUUUUCCCUGCUCUGCUCCUCUAAAUACAACUAAGUACCUUGGAAACUAUUCAGCAGACAAUGAUAAAGGGCUCUGAAAGCUAGAAGAAAAGGUGUACUUGCAAGAAACCUCAGGACUUGAGUAACAGCAACAUGUCUAGAUGCAUGUGAGGAGCAAGUUCAAGUCAGACUCAAUGUCAUUUCACCAUGAUUGGGGCAGAGUGGCACCGGGCCUGGUGGGAUCAGAAGGCAGGACACGGCGGACAGCUGGAUUGCCCCUUUCUAAAUCCAGCUUUCUUCAUCCAGGAAGCCUUCUCUGACCCUCCCACCCAUAGGGCCCUCUCCUACCCUGAACUCCUCCAGAAUUCUGUCUGCUGAAAGAAGGCAUGUGGAGUGUGAGAAGACAGCAGGGCUCUGAAGUCAGACCGAUGUGGUUUAAAUAUUGGUUUCUUGUGUUCAAUCAUCUGACCAUUAAUUCAACAUCUGUAGCAUGCCAGGCACUGUUCUACAUCCUGGAAAUGUGUUCAUGUUCAAGAGCUGGGUGUUCUUGGAUCCUGUAUGCAAAUGAGGGAGAGAGAGACAGUCAAUAACAACAAUAACAAAGCCAAACAUGCAAAAAGAAAAAAAGUUGUGAUGUUGGAAAUUAAGAAAAUAACCAAGGGGCUGAGAUAAAGAAUACCAAAAGGACCUACUUUAGAUGAGGUUAAUGAAUGACUUCCUCUUUGAAUGGGCAGCAUUUAAAAUUGCAAUGUACAAGGAGGAAGAAUAGUUACUAUAUAAAUAAAACAGAGGAGCAUUCUUGGCAAGAGAAAAACGACAGGUACAAGACCGUUAAGUGGGAAAGGUAGGAAAGGGCUUGGGUGGGGCAAGGUUGGAACU
rnacentral:lncRNA from 1 species